GAUGAAGAACGCAGCGAAAUGCGAUACGUAAUGUGAAUUGCAAAUUCAGUGAAUCAUCGAGUCUUUGAACGCACAUUGCGCCCCCUGGUAUUCCGGGGGCAUGCCUGUCCGAGCGUCAUUGCUGCCCUCAAGCACGGCUUGUGUGUUGGGCCCCGUCCUCCGAUCCCGGGGGACGGGCCCGAAAGGCAGCGGCGGCACCGCGUCCGGUCCUCGAGCGUAUGGGGCUUUGUCACCCGCUCUGUAGGCCCGGCCGGCGCUUGCCGAUCAACCCAAAUUUUUAUCCAGGUUGACCUCGGAUCAGGUAGGGAUACCCGCUGAACUUAAGCAUAUCAAUAAGCGGAGGA
rnacentral:misc_RNA from 1 species